AUCCUCAGGGGGCUGCACCACGAACGCGUCAUGGGCCUACACGAGGCCUACAUCACCCCCCGCUAUCUGGUGCUGAUCGCUGAGCACUGCGCCGCAAGGAGAUCCUCUACCACCUCGUUGACAGGUUCCGCUACUCGGAGGACGACGUGGCCGGCUACGUGCUGCAGCUGCUGCAGGGGCUGAGUACCUGCACGGGCGCGAUUGUGCACCUGGACAUCAAGCCUGACAACGUGCUCGUCACCUACAGCAACGUGGUGAAGAUCAUCGACUCGCAGCGCCCAGAGCUACAACCCGCUGGUUGCUGCGCAGACUGGGGCGCCGCGUGGGCACGCUGGAGUUCAUGUCUCCAGAGGUGGUGAAGGGAGACCCGGUGGGCUCUGCAGCCGAUAUCUGGGGGUCGGCGUGCUCACCUACAUCAUG